rnacentral:rRNA from 1 species
UACGAAGGGGGCUAGCGUUGUUCGGAAUUACUGGGCGUAAAGGGCGCGUAGGCGGCUUCGAUAGUCGGGUGUGAAAUGCCUGGGCUCAACCCAGGAACUGCACUCGAAACUCCGAGGCUAGAGUGUGGGGGAGGAUAGUGGAAUUCCCAGUGUAGAGGUGAAAUUCGUAGAUAUUGGGAAGAACACCGGUGGCGAAGGCGGCUCUCUGGACCGUAACUGACGCUGAGGCGCGAAAGCGUGGGGAGCAAACAGG